rnacentral:lncRNA from 1 species
CGAUAGUGUGAAGCCGCUUUGGAGUGGGAGAAUGAGUUGGUAUCCUCAAUUGCUCGCGGAGCUGAAUUGAGGCGUGGUUUGAAUUUCGCGGACGAAAUUCUUUUGAGGGGUGGAGAAUGUAGCAUACCGGAUUUUGAUGUAAAAAUAAAAAUAAAUAAAAAUAGUGUGAGAUACUAUUUUUAUUAGAUUUAGAGAAGUAAAAUAUAAGUCAGAAGUGACUUGUGCUGAAAUCGGAAUGAAAACAGAAGAUUUAGAAUUUUCUGUUGGAAACGGGACAGAUAAAUUAGCAGAAAAUACACAGUGUCAGAAAAUUAUAAAAACUGGAGGAUAAGUCAGAAUUAUUUUUAUGAGACUAGAUUUAAAGUUUCAUAUCAUUCUAACACCCAGAAGGUGGAAAAUAAAAUCCGACAGCUAUCUGAUAAAAAUUACAGUUCGGUACAGCUUUCGGUGACCAAACGGGGUCGAAACUGAAAUAUUAAAAUUUCUUUGUACUUAUGACUGUCAAAUUUGAGCUCAAACGGACAUUCAAAAGGGCUCCGGCGAAAACGU